GCGCGGUUAGCUCAGUGGUAGAGCACAUGCUUCACACGCAUGGGGUCACUGGUUCGAACCCAGUACUGCGUACCA
rnacentral:tRNA from 1 species